AGUGGGCUCAGAUGAUGAAAUCAGGCCAUGGUAUGGGUCAGCCUCCAUUGUCGAGAAGUGGGUUCAUCACCUCCAUUAAGAAAUCCUGUAAGAAGGCCUUCACGCAAAGACAAGGCAUGUGUUAUGUCAUUCCAUCUGUUCAUUCAAAAUUUGUGUUGCUAUCUCUCUCUAUAUAUAUAUAUAUUUUUUUUUUGUUUUUUUUCAUAAUGCCUCUCUCUCUCUCUGUCUUUUUUCAUAGCGCUUUUGAUUACCCUGCAACAUAUCAAGGUCCAACUCCAUUGAUCUACCCAAUGAAAGAAAAGUAGCACGUCUUGCCAUAGGGUGCUUGUACAAAACAAAUGCCAGUUUGGAUGGUCCACUUGCAUAGUUAGCAAGUCGGUGAAUUACAAUAUAUUGGCUAAUAAAUCGGUUUUGUUCCAAAAGGUUGGAGGAAAACAAUCGGGACAAAAAUGCGGAUCACCAAAAAUUAGGUAAAUUAAAACAUCGUGAAUAUUUUGGUUUUGACACAAAAGAUAGAGUGAAAAAAUUGGAUAUGUAAAAAUGACACAUGAUAAGAUUAUGAUUUGUAGUUAUUGUAUGGAUAUUUUAAAGCUAUUGAACAACAAUUUUAUCUCCUUAGCUAGUAUCAUUAGGAUGAUACUUGACAAAGUUUUGUCAAAAUUUUCAAUAAAUAUAAUAACAAUACUUACUCUAUUGUCACGACACAAAAUAUAUUAUAGACUUACUGGAAAUAUAAAAUGAAACAACAAUACCAAACACAAGAUUUAUAUUAGUAAAUAGCGAGAACUAUAACCCAAUGUGUAAGGAUUAUUAUUGGACAAAACCCAUAUAAGGAUUAUUAUUGGAGAAAAACCCAUAAAAGACCCUCAAAUGUGUAAGGAUUAUUAUUGGACAAAAACCCAUAAAAGACCCUCUGUAUAGGAUUGAGGUUAGCUAAAACACAAAAAACAAAAGAUAUAAAAUAGCGGUUUGUUCAUCCAAAAUGCUUUGUUUUAAACCAAAUCACAAACAAGUUUGAGAAGAUGAUAUUAAUCAAACUUUUAUAUAUAGAAAGAAAGCAACAAAAUGCUUAAGCAAAUCUAAAUAUUCGAAUAUCAUCCUGAAUUUCAACUUUAUGUCAAUUUUCAAAUAUGGGAUUACAGAGAUUAUUCUCCUCUCAGAGAGGUCGAACACUGAAAAUAAAAGCAAAUCAUAAAACUUUAGAAGAGAGCGAAAGAACCCUAACCUACAGCCUUAUUCCGAGAAAGUGGGCAACAUGGCAAGGUUGAAACGAGAACUGUGUUUAAUCAGACUCUAAGUCCGAGGAAUCCACAAGAAUUGCAACCCUUGUACGAGCCUUCUUGAGCUCCCCAUGAGAGACUUAACUCUCAUCCUUUUGAAGUCUCGAUGCGGUGUUCCCAAGCAUGAAGAAGUUCAACUUUGUUAGAAAUCUGCCUCUUAAGCAUUUCAAUGACAGCCUUCUGGGCCAAUGUAAGAGCAAAUGUGGUAAAGCCCAACGCUUUUUGGUGAGGAGAAAAUCCAAGAAAUGCCCCACUCAAUAUAAGAGGGGGAAGAAGGAUAAAGUUCAAUAGAAGAUCAUUGAGAUUUCCUCAGACUCAGAAAAGAAGCAGAUCCCGACGAAUUAGAAAGGGAGCGACUAAGUGACCCCCAUGAAAAAUGAGAAGAGGAACCAUGGGAAAUGGACUCAUCAUCACUAAUAAUAGCCUCCUCUCUAGAAGACAUGGUGAAGGUACCUACAAAAGAGAGAACCAAGGAAAACCUUACACAAAGGGCUAAUUAAGCAAAGUGAUGAAGAAAGAUCACGCCCUUAAAAGGACUUUUUAAUAAGACUCAAAGGAGCAUUCCACACCGCAUGUUGUGUGGCAUGAAAAACAUGCGGAAAAUUGUUCCAUGCUGGCUGGACCUCACGAC
rnacentral:lncRNA from 1 species